AUGACCUUCAUCAUCAUCUUCAUCUGGACUCUCACAGCGUUUGCUCAAGAGUGUAGAGGACAGAUCACCGUCACUCAGAGUCCCUCAAUGACAGCAGCUCAACCAGGACAAACUGUGAACAUCAACUGUAAAACCAGCAGUGAUGUGUUUUAUUAUAGUUCUGAUGGACAUUAUUUAGCCUGGUACUUACAGAAACCUGGAGAAGCUCCUAAACUCCUGAUUUAUUUAGCAAACACCCUCCAGUCAGGAACUCCAUCUAGAUUCAGUGGCAGUGGAUCUAACAGUGAUUUCACUCUGACCAUCAGUGGAGUCCAGACUGAAGAUGCUGGACAUUAUUACUGUCAGAGUUUCCACUAUCCAAACAGUCAAUAUGUGUUCACACAGUGAUAAAGAGUCGUACAAAAACCUCCGUCAGUCAGAGUCACAGUGACUGAACUGAUACUGCAGCUGCUCAAAGGAGGAUCUGAAACAACAU